UCAAGAGUACGUGAAACCGCUUAGAGGCAAACGGGUGGAACCGCAGUGUCGACUCUUGGAAUUCAACCUGCCGUACGGGACGAUGCUGGGAUAAUUGCGGAGCUUCCAAAGCCCGUUUCUCGGCGUCGAUCUCCGGUCGGUGUGGUGCAUUUUCUUUGAGUCGAGAGCCACGACCGGCUCUUUGGCGGCCAAAAGCCUGGCUGGGAAAGCUGACCUCCGGAAAUUAAAAGCUGGCGGAGUGUAUAGCCCAGCYUGCGUUGGCUCGUCGAAGGGCCGAGGAAAAAAAAGCUUUGCCGCGACUCGUCGCUCUCGGACCAUCUGCGCUCGUCACGACUGGGGUGUACUGCUAGCCAGUGCUCUCCCGACCGCGAGCGUGGAAGGGUUCGUUCGGCGUGAGUUGCUUCGGGCCCGUGGCGAAUCGGUCGGUAACCCACCCGACCCGUCUUGAAACACGGAAA
rnacentral:rRNA from 1 species